rnacentral:rRNA from 1 species
GCGACCCCAGGUCAGGCGUG